UGUACGAUGACAGUAUGAUGACAGUUAUCCCGAAAAAUUUUGACAUUUAUUGCUUCUGUUGAAACUGAACCAGAAACCAGCACAUCACACUGUCGUGAUGGCUGAAUCAAAUUCUGAUUUUACACCAUCGGUCUGGGAAACUGAAGAGGAUAUUUUAAAAGACGUCAAGGAUUUUGACGAAUACUCAUUACAUUCUGAGGCCAAAAUGCCUCAAACUUUAGUAGACUACUAUGAAAAAAUAAAGAAAACCCGUGAGUUACUAGAUGAAAUUGACAAUGAGGCAGAGAAGCGAGAAGAGGAGCGGAAACAAAAUCCUCCUCAAAAGAAAGUUCCAGAAAAUGUAAUGCGAACCCCUGUACUUUUCAGAAUUCUUCAAAAUCGAGACAAGUAGUUGUCUGUGUUAAAUUUUCGUUGUUUUUUUUUUAAAUGUGAAUAAAUUUUGCGUUUGUGGUGUAAAA